AUGAAAUGCCUGAAAAAAGGAUUAUUUUGAUAGAGUAAAUUAUAUAAUUAAAUUAUUUUCAUUA
rnacentral:tRNA from 1 species